GCUUUCCUAUUUAACAACACUAGACUGCGAAAUGAAAGUGGCAUAUUCUUGGAAACAAGAUGCACAUAUAUAAACUGCAACAUUUUGGAGAAUGCUUACAUUUAUUUGCAAACCGUCAAGGACAUCACGAACAUUCUGAAAACUACAAGUCGGUCAGAAUUUAUUGGAGCCAAUGCUGAGGGUGAUGAGGGGCCCACAGUGGAACUUCUCCAUGGAUCAGCAACAGCGACAAUGGGGGCCUUCAACUUCUAGCUUCCUCUUGGAUGCCCAGAGCUCCGAGAGUGCUGUUCUAUGGACCCCAGGAAGCUGCCACACCCCAAGCCUCUACCCUUCUUCUCCUCAGCUUCAGAACCUGCAUGUCUCUGGAAGUCAUUAAAGCUCUUCAGACCAGCCAAAGAACCUAGAAGGAAAGAAGAGGAAACUUUUCUGCCCCUAUUUUGAUGACCCAGAUGGGAGCUUCACAGGCUAGACUCCGCUCACUCCAGAGCCAUGGCAGCUGAGAGAUGUUGGGAUCUCUGACAAAAAGCCAGCAGAAGGUAAGAAUUAUCAUAACAAGCCUGGAUCUCUGCUUGCAGAGUUUAAUGGAAGCAACAGUGGUUCAUCCUUUCCUUCAUCUAAAUUUAGGUAGCAGGAGAAAAUAUUUGGGUGAACUGGUUCAUUGGGUGUAAUGAUUUUAGUAAACAAUUUGUUAUGAGUACUUUUGUUUCCUAUUGAUCCCUUUCCACCUGUCCCUUUCCAGAGACAGUCACUGUUUGCUUUUUUGUCUCUUUCAUCUUGUUCUAUGUCUUGAGAACUUGGUUUUGUGACUGGUGAGAAUAGUCUCCUUAGUUUCUGCCAACUGGAGGAUGCAUGUAUGGAGGAUACACGUAUGGAGGAUACACGUAUGGAGGAUACAUUUGAUGGACACCUAAGCAGGCUAUGGAUCCAAAGACAGUGCUCCCUUUGUCCAGCUGUGCCAGCUCUCAGGGGAUUUGUCAUAAGGGGUCUGGGUCCAUAGUGGCUUUUGUCAUCUCAACCUUCAUGGCCUUGUUAGCUCUGGAAAAGUCCCAGUUCCAGUAGUACCG
rnacentral:lncRNA from 1 species